rnacentral:rRNA from 1 species
UACGAAGGUGGCGAAUGUUGCUCGGAUUCACUGGGCGUAAAGCGUCGGUAGGUGGCUUGUUAAGUUAGAGGUGAAAGCCCCGCGCUCAACGUGGGAAUUGCCUUUAAAACUGACAAGCUCGAGAGUACCAGAGGAUGGCGGAAUAUCCGGUGUAGAGGUAAAAUUCAUAGAUAUCGGAUGGAACACCCAUGGCGAAGGCAGCUAUCUGGGGUAUUUCUGACACUGAGCGACGACAGCGUGGGGAGCAAACAGG